CGKGCGGSAGCUACACAUGCAGUCGAACGAUGAUCCCGGUGCUUGCACCGGGUGAUUAGUGGCGAACGGGUGAGUAACACGUGAGUAACCUGCCCCCGACUCUGGGAUAAGCCCGGGAAACUGGGUCUAAUACCGGAUAUUCACUUCCUUCCGCAUGGGAGGUGGUGGAAAGAUUUAUCGGUGGGGGAUGGACUCGCGGCCUAUCAGCUUGUUGGUGGGGUAAUGGCCCACCAAGGCGACGACGGGUAGCCGGCCUGAGAGGGUGACCGGCCACACUGGGACUGAGACACGGCCCAGACUCCUACGGGAGGCAGCAGUGGGGAAUAUUGCACAAUGGGCGAAAGCCUGAUGCAGCGACGCCGCGUGAGGGAUGACGGCCUUCGGGUUGUAAACCUCUUUCAGUAGGGAAGAAGCGAAAGUGACGGUACCUGCAGAAGAAGCGCCGGCUAACUACGUGCCAGCAGCCGCGGUAAUACGUAGGGCGCAAGCGUUAUCCGGAAUUAUUGGGCGUAAAGAGCUCGUAGGCGGUUUGUCGCGUCUGCCGUGAAAGUCCGGGGCUCAACCCCGGAUCUGCGGUGGGUACGGGCAGACUAGAGUGAUGUAGGGGAGACUGGAAUUCCUGGUGUAGCGGUGAAAUGCGCAGAUAUCAGGAGGAACACCGAUGGCGAAGGCAGGUCUCUGGGCAUUAACUGACGCUGAGGAGCGAAAGCAUGGGGAGCGAACAGGAUUAGAUACCCUGGUAGUCCAUGCCGUAAACGUUGGGCACUAGAUGUGGGGGACAUUCCACGUUUUCCGCGUCGUAGCUAACGCAUUAAGUGCCCCGCCUGGGGAGUACGGCCGCAAGGCUAAAACUCAAAGGAAUUGACGGGGGCCCGCACAAGCGGCGGAGCAUGCGGAUUAAUUCGAUGCAACGCGAAGAACCUUACCAAGGCUUGACAUGGGCCGGAUCGCCGCAGAAAUGUGGUUUCCCCUUUGGGGCCCGGUUCACAGGUGGUGCAUGGGUUGUCGUCAGCUCGUGUCGUGAGAUGUUGGGUUAAGUCCCGCAACGAGCGCACCCUCGUUCAUGUUGCCAGCACGUAGUGGUGGGGACUCAUGGGAGACUGCCGGGUCACUCGAAGGAGUGGGACGACGUCAUCAUCAUGCCCCUAUGUUCUUGGGCCUUCAMGGCCAAUKG
rnacentral:rRNA from 1 species